UACGUAGGGUGCAAGCGUUGUCCGGAUUCAUUGGGCGUAAAGAGCGUGUAGGCGGCCAGGUAGGUCGGUUGUGAAAACUGGAGGCUCAACCUUCAGACGUCGACCGAAACCAUCUGGCUAGAGUCCGGGAGAGGAGAGUGGAAUUCCUGGUGUAGCGGUGAAAUGCGCAGAUAUUAGGGAGAACACCAGUGGCGAAGGCGGCUCACUGGCCCGAUACUGACGCUGAGGCACGAAAGCGUGGGGAGCAAACAGG
rnacentral:rRNA from 1 species